rnacentral:misc_RNA from 1 species
UGAACUACGUGCAGCCGAGGUGUUGGAUAAUCAAUACUAACGUGUGUCGUCAGUCUGGACCAAAAAGUGAUAUUGAAAGAGCAUAUAUCCUCGAUCGACAACAUGAAAACUACGGCACAUAACUGCAUGCCCGGUAACGCCAAUUUAUUCGGUGAAGAUUCAAUCGAAGAAAUCGCUGAGUCAGUGGAUGAGCUAAGAGAGAAACUCGCGAAUAUGAAAAAACUUAUGGAACAGCGGAAAGGCACGACACUGGGCGAAAUUAGCGCCCGCAAGAGGAAGGAGACUUCCGACAUAAUAGAUGGCAAUUUUUUGUCCUGGAUUUUUGGAUCUGCCCUUAUAGUGAUCCUAAGUGUGAGCUUCUAUGCUUUCUACAAUCUUUUCCUCGCAGUAUUGAGGAAGUUUCCAUCUCAUCAUACAGAAUUGUAAAAAAGGUGAACAAAUAUCGUGUAACUUAAUGUACAAAUGUUGAAGAAGAUCGGGAGAACUUUCAAUGUAAAUGGUAAACUCAUUUGUAUGCAAUUGCCAAUACAACCAAUAAAUCUUCAAAGUGGCAAAAAAAGA